ACACGACCGUACCGCAAACCGACACUGGUGCGCGAGAUGAGUAUUCUAAGGCGCUUGAGAGAACUCAGGAGAAGGAACUCGGCAAAUUGACACCGUAACUUCGGAAGAAGGUGUGCCUUUAGUAGGUGAAGUCCCUCGCGGAUGGAGCCCAAUGAGGUUGCAAAGAAUCGGUGGCUGCGACUGUUUAUUAAAAACACAGCACUCUGCAAACACGAAAGUGGACGUAUAGGGUGUGACGCCUGCCCGGUGCUGGAAGAUUAAAUGAUGGGGUGCAAGCUCUUGAUUGAAGUCCCAGUAAACGGCGGCCGUAACAAUAACGGUCCUAAGGUAGCGAAAUUCCUUGUCGGGUAAGUUCCGACCUGCACGAAUGGCGUAACGAUGGCCACACUGUCUCCUCCUGAGACUCAGCGAAGUUGAAAUGUUUGUGAUGAUGCAAUCUCCCCGCGGAAAGACGGAAAGACCCCAUGAACCUUUACUGUAGCUUUGUAUUGGACUUUGAACAGAUCUGUGUAGGAUAGGUGGGAGGCUUUGAAGCAGGGUCGCUAGAUCUUGUGGAGCCAACGUUGAAAUACCACCCUGGUGUGUUUGAGGUUCUAACCUAGGCCCGUAAUCCGGGUUGGGGACAGUGCAUGGUAGGCAGUUUGACUGGGGCGGUCUCCUCCCAAAGUGUAACGGAGGAGUUCGAAGGUACGCUAGUUACGGUCGGACAUCGUGACGAUAGUGCAAUGGCAUAAGCGUGCUUAACUGCGAGACUGACAAGUCGAGCAGAUGCGAAAGCAGGACAUAGUGAUCCGGUGGUUCUGUAUGGAAGGGCCAUCGCUCAACGGAUAAAAGGUACUCUGGGGAUAACAGGCUGAUACCGCCCAAGAGUUCAUAUCGACGGCGGUGUUUGGCACCUCGAUGUCGGCUCAUCUCAUCCUGGGGCUGUAGCCGGUCCCAAGGGUAUGGCUGUUCGCCAUUUAAAGAGGUACGUGAGCUGGGUUUAAAACGUCGUGAGACAGUUUGGUCCCUAUCUUCCGUGGGCGCUGCAGAUUUGAGGAAGCCUGCUCCUAGUACGAGAGGACCGGAGUGGACGCACCUCUGGUGUAUCGGUUGUCACGCCAGUGGCAUUGCCGAGUAGCUAUGUGCGGAAGAGAUAACCGCUGAAAGCAUCUAAGCGGGAAACUCGUUUCAAGAUGAGAUCUGCCGGGGCCUUGAGCCCCCUGAAGAGUCGUUCAAGACCAGGACGUUGAUAGGUCGGGUGUGGAAGCGCAGUAAUGCGUUAAGCUAACCGAUACUAAUUGCUCGUGCGGCUUGACCCC
rnacentral:rRNA from 1 species